UACGUAGGGAGCAAGCGUUGUCCGGAAUCAUUGGGCGUAAAGCGCGCGUAGGUGGCUCUAUAAGUCCGUUGUGAAAGUCAAAGGCUCAACCUUUGAAAGCCGAUGGAUACUGUAGAGCUAGAGUCCGGAAGAGGCGAGUGGAAUUCCUGGUGUAGCGGUGAAAUGCGCAGAUAUCAGGAAGAACACCAAUGGCGAAAGCAGCUCUCUGGGACGGUACUGACGCUGAGACGCGAAAGCGUGGGGAGCGAACAGG
rnacentral:rRNA from 1 species